rnacentral:rRNA from 1 species
CACCCAACAGCUAGCCCACUCAGACAACCUCAACAAACCCCCAUUAAUAACCCCUAAGUACCCCAGUAUUUAAACUAAACAAACCAUUUUCCCCCCUUAGUAUAGGCGAUAGAAAAG